GGUCUGGUGGUGUAGUUGGUUAUCACGUCAGUCUAACAGGGUUCGAGAGCUUCACCUCCCUCACCCAGUCUCACUGAAGGUCUCCGGUUCAAGUCCGGGCUAGAUCA
rnacentral:tRNA from 1 species